GAUGAACGCUGGCGGCGUGCUUAACACAUGCAAGUCGAACGAUGAAGCCCAGCUUGCUGGGUGGAUUAGUGGCGAACGGGUGAGUAACACGUGAGUAACCUGCCCUUGACUCUGGGAUAAGCCUGGGAAACUGGGGCUAAUACUGGAUAUGACUUCUCAUCGCAUGGUGGGGGGUGGAAAGAUUUAUUGGUCUUGGAUGGACUCGCGGCCUAUCAGCUUGUUGGUGAGGUAAUGGCUCACCAAGGCGACGACGGGUAGCCGGCCUGAGAGGGUGACCGGCCACACUGGGACUGAGACACGGCCCAGACUCCUACGGGAGGCAGCAGUGGGGAAUAUUGCACAAUGGGCGCAAGCCUGAUGCAGCGACGCCGCGUGAGGGAUGACGGCCUUCGGGUUGUAAACCUCUUUCAGUAGGGAAGAAGCGAGAGUGACGGUACCUGCAGAAGAAGCGCCGGCUAACUACGUG
rnacentral:rRNA from 1 species